rnacentral:tRNA from 1 species
GGCGGUCGGCCGGGGGCGCGGCCGGCAGUUCCGGGCCGCCGGCCAGAGGUCCGGCCGGCAGUUCCGAGCCGCCGGCCGAGA